GCAACCCCAGGAUGGGCGAGGCCACCCGCCGAGUUUAAGAAUAUCAAUAAGCAGAGGAGAAGAAACUUACGAGGAUUGCCUAGUAAUGGCAAGCGAAGGAAAGGCCUGGCAUGGGAAUUGGGCUGCAGUGCAGCAGCUCAAAUUGUAGUUUGGAGAAGCGUCCUCAGCGACGGACUGGGCCCAAGUCUCAUGGAAAGGGGCACCGGGGAGGGUGAGAG
rnacentral:rRNA from 1 species